GGAUUAGAUACCCUGGUAGUCCUAGCUGUAAACGAUGGAUACUAGGCGUUGCUUGUAUCGACCCGAGCAGUGCCGUAGCUAACGCGUUAAGUAUCCCGCCUGGGGAGUACGCACGCAAGUGUGAAACUCAAAGGAAUUGACGGGGGCCCGCACAAGCGGUGGAGUAUGUGGUUUAAUUCGAUGCAACGCGAAGAACCUUACCAGGACUUGACAUCCCGCGAAUCUUUGGGAGACCGAAGAGUGCCUUAGGGAACGCGGAGACAGGUGGUGCAUGGCUGUCGUCAGCUCGUGCUG
rnacentral:rRNA from 1 species